AGUGUUGAUUUGACAUUACGAGAAGUUAAACGUGUUGGUAAACGAGCGGUCGCAAUUUUUUUAGAGAAAUACACGAUAAAAAUAAAUUUUAUAAUUUUUUUUUAAUAACAAGAAUUUUAAAGUGUUAACGAGAGACAAUUAGAAAUAACAAAAACAAUUUCUAACGAUAUUAAAUAAUAAUUUGGAACGAAAUUAAUUAUUAGAAUCUGAGAAAAGUUUAAAAUAUAUUUUGUACGACAAAUAAGAAAAAAAAAAAGAAAAUUUAUUACGAACUGUUGCGCACACACCUUUUCAUAUAAAGCUGCAAUAUAUAUAAAGGCAAAUAAUAAAAAAAAAAACAAACCGAAAAGUAAAUACGAUAAAAAUAUAUUGAAGAAAAAAAAAAAGACAAGUCGCGCAAAGUGUACGUAUAGAAAAUAAAUGAAAUAAAAUUAUAAAAAUAAAAGCAAGAUAAGAAAAAACACAAUAAGCAAAGAAAACAAGCAACAAAAUUUAGUGAAUGAGCUCACACAUCAAGAAAAAAAAAGUGGCAAAAAAAGCAAAACAAAACAACAAAAAUGCAAUAGCUUAACAAAAAAAGGAAUAAAAACGCCCGAAUUCAACACUAAUAAAAUAAAUUUUAUAAAGUAUUUAAUUAAAAUUUAAGGUGUUUUUUUUUUAAUUUUACUUUUUGUCAACACAAUUUGCUUUGUUUAAAGAAAGAAAAACAAAUAAAAGCAAAAUUUAAAAACGAGUGCAAAGGAGUGAGUAGAAAAAAAGUAAAUGAGUGUGUUUACUUAAAGAAAAAAGUGCAUUACUGUUAAAAAGAAGAAGAAUUUGACAACAAUCACACUCAACUACACACGGCAAAAAAAUAAUACGAGUCAUCAAUUAAAAUUUGUGUUUUCUUAAGUUUUUUUUGUGUUAAAUUAAUAUAUUUUCUAUAGUUUUCUUUAAAUUAAUAACAACUUUUCUCUACAACAACAAAACAGUGCAAUAUAUGUAAAAGAAGAACAAAUAAUUUGUUAAAAAAAGAAAUUACAAUAAAAAUUUUCUUUUAACCACCACAUACCGCCCAGUGUUUCUUUAUUUUACAAAAUUAUUUUUCUUUGAUUCUACAAAAAGAUAACAAAAUUAUUAUUAAAAAUAUUUCUCUAAAAAGAAAUUAUAUUUUCUAAAAAUAUAAAUAAAAUAUAUUACGAAUUAAAGUGCAUUUUAAGGUGAAAUUUAUUUAAAUAUAAAAUCUGCAUUAUAUUUAAAAUAUUUUCUUUGGAAAAAAAGCAAGAAAAAAAUUUAACAAAAAUUAACGUGUUUUGGUUUAAAAUUCAGUUUUUAAAUUAAUUUUACCAACAACUGUUCUACAAUUUAUGCUUAAAUGGAUGCAACAUCUAUAAUAACACAAGUCGCCCGCGAUGAUGAACAAUUAAAUGUUUAUCCCAAUGAAAAAGGUAUGUGUUAAAUUUUUUAAAGUCGCAAUAUGUUUUUGCUUUUGUCAUCUUAUUAAUUUAUUCUGGAUUUAAUGGGGAUAUUUUUAUUUUGGAAUUUGAAAAAAGGUAAGUCAUUAUUAAUUAAUUAGAGCUGGUUACAAAAAAUACAAAAAUGCGGUAAUAAUGAUUUAAUGAAAGCAACAUUGUUGCUUAAAAAAACAAGUCAAAGUUAUUUAAGGUAUUUUUAAUGAUAAUAAAUUGUUAAAAAAAAAAAAGUUGUUAAAUACUCACAAAACAGCAUUUGAAAUGUUUUAUGUUUAUUGAUCUCUCUAUAUUACUCUUUCUCAGCUAUUCAACUAAUGAUGUUGCCAUAUUACAUUUUCUAUUAAACUGUCAACAGUUUUCACACCUUAUCCUUUUUACAGCAUACUUUAUUGUGCUACCAUACUGCUUUGCUUACUAGCGGUAUUUAAGUGUUACCACUUGUUAUUUUUUUACUGCUUUUUUUUAUAAAAUUGUUAUAUAUCCCCUUUAAACUUGUAGUUUUUAUUACUGACAUAACUUUCCUUUCUAUUUUUAACCAAAUUUUAUUAUGUAAAAAUUUGUUUUCUUUUUUCACAUGUUUUUUAUAGUUUUGUUUUACUUUAUUAUAAUUUAUGUCAUUAAAAACAUGAUUUUCAUUUUGCAAAGUUAUUUCUGUUGGUUUGUAGUUUACCAUUUCAUGUUCCCAUUUCUAACCAUGACCUUUUCCAUUUAUCUUUAUAUUGUACUUGGGAAGGGAUAUAUUACACACAUAUACUUUGUUAAUUUCUGUUACAAAUAUAGAAAAAAAAACUAUAAAUUUAUAGUUUUUUUAUGACAACAUUGUUUUCAACAAUUCCUUGAUUUUAUGAUUAUUAUUAAAACUGUAUACUGACAGACUUCCUUAAACGUAUACUCGUUGCUUGGUGGUUGUUUGCUUGGCGACGUCUUGGAUUUAUAAAGGUUAGAAGAAAUAUUUCUUGUAAAUUAAAAUGAAAUAAUAAAUAGUUGUAAUAAUAUAUAGUUUUGUUUAGUACAUGAAAAGGUUAAAGAGAAGUGAACACACCUUUAACCCCAUACAAAAGGUUAAAGGUUAUUUAAAGUUUAAAGAAAAUGUUGAAAUGUUUGUUUUAACGAAAUCAAAGCAAAUUUUUUAUAACAUUUUUAAAAGGAAAUAUGUCUCUUUUCUAAAGGAAACUUGUUUGAAUUGCCAGCAACUGUUUCAAAGAAAAUUUCCAACAACUAGCAGCAACUUUUUAAAGAUAACUUGUUCAAGCAUGACAAAUUUUCUAAAGGAAACUACCAUCAAUUGUCAAAAUCUUUUCUAAAGAAAACUUCCACUAAAUGGCGGCAACUUUUCUAAACUACUAUUGUUGGCAGCAACUUUAUUAAAGUUGAAAUGGCAGCAACUUAUCUUAAGAAAACUUCCAUUGCAAGCAAUUUCUUUAAAGAAAACUCGUACCAAUUGUCAGCAAUUUUUGUAAAGAAAAUAUGCUCCAAUUGGCAGCAAUUUAUAUAAUUAAAAUUGCCAUAAAUAGGAAGCAACUUUUCUAAAGAAAAAAUUCCACCAAGAAGCAGCAUCUUUUCUAAAGAUAAUUGUUACCGAUUAGCAGCAAUUACCUAAAGGAAAUUGCUACAUUUGUAAAGACAAUUGCUACCAAUUGGCAGCAACUUUUCUAAAGAUAACUUGUCUUCAAUUGAAAGCAACUUUUCUAUAUAAACCUUUCCUCUAAUUGACAGCAACUUUCGUUAAAGAAAACUUCAAACAAUUGCAGCAAAUUUUCUAAAUAGAACUUGUAUUCGAUUGAAAGCAACUUUUCUAAAGAAAACUUGCCUCCAAUGGUCGAAUCUUGCUUCAAAUUGGCAGCAACUUCUCUAAAAAAAACAUUCUUCAAUUGACAGCAACUUUCUAAAGAAAAUGUCCAACAAUUGCCAGCAAUUUUUCUUAUCAAACUUGUCUUCGAUUGGCCGCGCAAACUUUCGAAAGAAAACUUCUAACAAUUGGCAGCAACUUUUUCAAAGGAAACUUCCACGAAAUGCCAGCGACUUUUCAAUUCUUCUUACAACAGUUGGUAGCAAAAUAAGGUUAAAUCCAUUAAAAUUACAUUUGAUUUCUUUAAAUACAAAAACAAUUUCUUAGAAAUAAUGAUUCAAAUCCAAAGAUAUCGCUAAAGAUUGAGAAAUUAUCAAUUUAUUGCUUUAAACAAAUAUUGGAUAAUUUCCACUAAUAGGUUGAUCUACAAAACGAUCACAAACUUUUCUAUAAAACGAUCACAAACUUUUCUACAAAACGAUCACAAACUUUUUCAUAAAACUAUCACUCACUUUCUAUAGGAGAAAUUUAAUCAGCAAAACGAACACAAACUUUUCUAUAUAGAAAAGUUUAUCUACAAAACGAUACGAAGCCAUGUUAAUCUACAAAAUGAUCACUAACAUUUCUAUACAGAAAGUGGUAGAUCAACAAAACGAUCAACUAUUCUGCUCUAAGCCAAGUUGAUCUACAAUAUGAUCACUAACUCUUCUAUGCGAUCACUAACCUUUCCAUACAGAAUGUCGUAGAUCAACAAAAAGAUCAACCAUUCUUCUCUAAGCCAAGUUGAUCUACAAAAUGAUCACAAACUUCUUUCCUGUGCGAAAAAGUAGAUAUACAGAAUGAUCACCAACUUUUCUAUACAGACAAAUUGAUCUACAAAAUGAUCACAAAACUUUCUAUAAAGAAAAGUUAAUCUACAAAAUGAUCACACAUCUACAAAACGAUCAUUAACUUUUCUAUAAGAAAAAUUGAUCUACAAAACGAUCACAAACGUUUCCAUGCGAAAAGGUAGUUCAGUUAAACGAUCAGAAACUUUUCUAUAUGGAAAAGUUGAUCUACAAAACGUGGACAAAGUUUUCUAUACGAAAAAAUAGAUCCACAAAACGAUCAACUAUUCUAUUUGAAGACAAGCUGAACUACAAAACGAUCACAAACUUUUCUAUACGAAAUCAAGUUAAUCUACUUAAUGAUCACAAACUUUUCUAUAAGAGAAAUUGAUCUACAAAACGAUCACAAACGUUUCCUUGCGAAAAAGUAGAUCUACUAAACGAUCACAAAUGAGUAUAAAAUCUUAUAGCCAAAUGACGUUUGGUAUUUCUUAGGAAACAUUUAAAACAAUACGAAUAUCGGGAAUUUUCUUUAAAAAUAAGAAGUCUAUAUAAUGGUUCUGUUGGAAAAAUCGCCAGCAGUUGUUAACAUAGAUUAAUAAGCAAUACUUCGAAAGAAUAUUUAAAAGAAAAAAUUGAAAAUUUCGAGGAAACUAAGAACAUUUUCUGAUUACAAAAUGGUUUAUCCAAAGGAAGUGAAACGUUGGCCAUCAAAAGAUAACUACCAGGAGGAAUUUAUAAUGUGGAUUAAACUUAAAUUUAGAAUUUGAAGAAAAAUCAACUAAGAUUUACCAAAAAAAAGUGUUAGAACUACUCGAAAGGCCUCGUGAAAUAUAAUCAACAUAUUCCCCUCAUGAAGAUUUCAGUAGUUUUAAAGAAUGUUUUAAUUUAUUAAAAUUUUUAUCAAAAAUAUUUUUUUAAUCUAAAUAUCCAACUUUGUUGCACAAACAUUAACAUUAAACUAGACUCAAGUUGCUAAAAAUUAAAUCAAAAUGUUUAU